rnacentral:rRNA from 1 species
UACAAGAAGCCGAAAGGCUACUUCAAACCAUCGCGAACUCGUCCAAGUUGCUUCGGCGGCGCGGCACCCCUUAACGGGGGCGCCGCAGCCCUGCCUCUCCGGAGGUUCGGGGCGCCCGCCGGAGGUACGAAACUCUGUAUUAUAGUGGCAUCUCUGAGUAUAAAACAAAUAAGUUAAAACUUUCAACAACGGAUCUCUUGGUUCUGGCAUCGAUGAAGAACGCAGCGAAAUGCGAUAAGUAAUGUGAAUUGCAGAAUUCAGUGAAUCAUCGAAUCUUUGAACGCACAUUGCGCCCGGUAGUACUCUACCGGGCAUGCCUGUUCGAGCGUCAUUUCAACCCUCAAGCCCUGCUUGGUGUUGGGGCCCUACGGCUGCCGUAGGCCCUGAAAGGAAGUGGCGGGCUCGCUACAACUCCGAGCGUAGUAAUUCAUUAUCUCGCUAGGGAAGUUGCGGCGUGCUCCUGCCGUUAAAGACCCAUCUUUAACCAAGGUUGACCUCGGAUCAGGUAGGAAUACCCGCUGAACUUAAGCAUAUCAAUAAGCGGAGGAAAAGAAACCAACAGGGAUUGCCCUAGUAACGGCGAGUGAAGCGGCAACAGCUCAAAUUUGAAAUCUGGCUUCGGCCCGAGUUGUAAUUUGUAGAGGAUGCUUUUGGUGAGGUGCCUUCUGAGUUCCCUGGAACGGGACGCCAGAGAGGGUGAGAGCCCCGUAUAGUCGGCCACCGAUCCUUUGUAAAGCUCCUUCGACGAGUCGAGUAGUUUGGGAAUGCUGCUCAAAAUGGGAGGUAUAUCUCUUCUAAAGCUAAAUAUAGGCCAGAGACCGAUAGCGCACAAGUAGAGUGAUCGAAAGAUGAAAAGCACUUUGAAAAGAGGGUUAAAUAGCACGUGAAAUUGUUGAAAGGGAAGCGCUUGUGACCAGACUUGUGCCGGGCUGAUCAUCCAGUGUUCUCACUGGUGCACUCGACCCGGCUCAGGCCAGCGUCGGUUUUCGUGGGGGGAUAAAAGCUUCGGGAACGUGGCACCUUCGGGUGUGUUAUAGCCCGUUGCUUAAUAC